rnacentral:rRNA from 1 species
UGGGGAAUUUUGGACAAUGGGGGAAACCCUGAUCCAGCCAUCCCGCGUGUGCGAUGAAGGCCUUCGGGUUGUAAAGCACUUUUGGCAGGAAAGAAACGUCGCGGGUUAAUACCCCGCGAAACUGACGGUACCUGCAGAAUAAGCACCGGCUAACUACGUGCCAGCAGCCGCGGUAAUACGUAGGGUGCAAGCGUUAAUCGGAAUUACUGGGCGUAAAGCGUGCGCAGGCGGUUCGGAAAGAAAGAUGUGAAAUCCCAGAGCUUAACUUUGGAACUGCAUUUUUAACUACCGGGCUAGAGUGUGUCAGAGGGAGGUGGAAUUCCNCGUGUAGCAGUGAAAUGCGUAGAUAUGCGGAGGAACACCGAUGGCGAAGGCAGCCUCUGGGAUAACACUGACGCUCAUGCACGAAAGCGUGGGGAGCAAACAGGAUUAGAUACCCUGGUAGUCCACGCCCUAAACGAUGUCAACUAGCUGUUGGGGCCUUCGGGCCUUUGGUAGCGCAGCUAACGCGUGAAGUUGACCGCCUGGGGAGUACGGUCGCAAGAUU